ensembl:lncRNA LINC00574 long intergenic non-protein coding RNA 574
CCUUCUCGAGGCCGGUGCUUGACUGGAGGAGGGCUGGCAGCAGAAGUGCAGCUGACCGGGUUGCGUUUUCGUACGGCUGACUAAAGCGGAUACCGGUGGCGACUCAUUUCUCGUUUUAUUUUUCAACGAUUUGGCGGAGAAGCUCCUCUUGUGAAUGGACUUUGGAUUUCUUGGAGCUGCGCUGCGGGUCCCACAGUGUGGCUUUCGGCCCGUGCUGUGCUGGCGCCUGCACUUCCUCUGGCGGGGCACGGGGUGGCGCUCCCUGGUAAAGCAGCGGCCAGGGGGAGCCGUGAGUGAGGCGCUGCCUCUCCCGCUGAAGCGGGUUCCAAGGCCACCGUGAGGGGGACCAUCCAUCCAGGAGAGUACUGGGCAGGCUGCAAAUGUCUGUGUUAAAACAGCUCUGCUGGGCUAAGACAGGACAGAAGCAGACAGCAGGUGGAUGAGACACAAUUUCCUAUCCAGCAGAACCUGCAGCAAGCUCCACAGCACCCUCCAUGGGCUCAGUCUUGCUCCCGGGAAGAUGGUUAAUUCCAUCAGGUCAGUAUUUCCACACCUCCCGAGCCUCCACUUUCCUCUAUGUGUUCUCUGAAACCCACCCCCCUGGGCUUGCCACUUAGAUGAUUCCAGAAUUGCCUCACCACCCUUUACUUGCAGAACCUGGCCUUCAUGUUAUGGGGAUGAUUAGGAAAGAAAGUUGCUUCAGGAAAUGGCCAGAAAGGGGUUCCACAGAACUGGCUUAUGAAAUAGUUUUGCAGAAUCUGUAAUUAGUAAGCUGGAAACAAAGGCAAAAGAAAAAACAGAAAAUCUUAUUGUAGAAAACAUGCUUUGCAGUGUUUGAAAAGGCUGUUCUUGUUAAAUUAACCCAUUAAUAAAUACAAACCACAUAAUA